ACCAACUGGGAUUACCUUAGUAACGGCGAGUGAAGCGGUAAAAGCUCAAAUUUGAAAUCUGGUACUUUCAGUGCCCGAGUUGUAAUUUGUAGAAUUUGUCUUUGAUUAGGUCCUUGUCUAUGUUCCUUGGAACAGGACGUCAUAGAGGGUGAGAAUCCCGUUUGGCGAGGAUACCUUUUCUUUGUAAGACUUUUUCGAAGAGUCGAGUUGUUUGGGAAUGCAGCUCAAAGUGGGUGGUAAAUUCCAUCUAAAGCUAAAUAUUGGCGAGAGACCGAUAGCGAACAAGUACAGUGAUGGAAAGAUGAAAAGAACUUUGAAAAGAGAGUGAAAAAGUACGUGAAAUUGUUGAAAGGGAAGGGCAUUUGAUCAGACAUGGUGUUUUUGCAUGCACUCGCCUCUCGUGGGCUUGGGCCUCUCAAAAAUUUCACUGGGCCAACAUCAAUUCUGGCAGCAGGAUAAAUCAUUAAGAAUGUAGCUACUUCGGUAUGUUAUAGCUUUUGGAAUACUGUUAGCCGGGAUUGA
rnacentral:rRNA from 1 species